rnacentral:rRNA from 1 species
CACGGGGUUGCGAGCGUUGUCCGGAAUUACUAGGCGUAAAGGGCAGGCAGGCGGAUCCAUAAGUUAUCGUUUAAGGCGUCGGCUUAACCGGCGUAGGGCGGUAGAUACUAUGGAUCUGGAAUGCGGUUGGGGAAGACAGAAUUCCUGGUGUAGCGGUGGAAUGCGCAGAGAUCAGGAGGAAUACCGAAGGCGAAGGCAGUCUUCCAAGCCGUUAUUGACGCUCAACUGCGAAGGUGUGGGUAUCAAACAGGAUUAGAUACCCUGGUAGUCCCUGA